CCUGCCCUGCUGCCGCCGUGCUCCUGGAUUUCCUGGAUGUUUCCGGGCGGGCUUGUCGCCUGCCCGGGGUCAGCUGCCCUCCUGCCUCUGGGUCACCCUGACCACCAAACUUGGAGGGGUCUGUGGUUUAUUUGGGGGUUUUGUGUUCGUUCGGUGGGUUUCGGUUCAUUUCGGGCUGGGUUCGCCUCAGGCCGGAGCUGCCCGUGGUGUGUGGCGGCGGGUCGGGGGGUCCCUCACAGCCCCUGCCCUCAGCGCGGCCGCGGCAAUGGCGCUUUCCCGCCCCGUUUUCCCGCCCGAUUUUCCCGCCCCUGCAAGUCUCGGGCACGGCCGGGAGGUGGCGCUGCGGAGCCGCGCGGGAAGGGCCGGGAAGGGCCGGGAAUAGCUGGGAAUGGCCGGGAAUGCGCUCGGGGACACCCGUGUGUCACCCCCCCCCACGGGUCACGGAGCCUCGUCGCGAACCUCUGGGGUGGGAGAUCCCAAAACCCCCCGUCCUGGAGCUUCGCCUGGAGCUGGGAAGUGCGACCGCAACGCCCUCGCUGUUCCCGGCUGGAAAACGCCUCCACAGCUGCCCACGGACCUGCCAGACCGGAGUGUCCUGGAGCCCUGAGCUGGAGCUGCUGCAGGGGAUCAGAGCACAGAACCAUCCUGUUCCCCAGCAUGGAGACUGGAGAGGAGGGCAUCUGCUGGGACUGACCUGCUGCCAACGCCGCUGGGCCCGCUGCUGCAGGGGCUGCAGGGGGCUGGGUGACACCCGUGCCCACGGUGCCACCUCGCUGUGCUGGAGAGUCAAUCCCUGUGCCAGACCCACCGCCCGGCAGGGCAGGAGUGAUAUUCCCGUCUGCCAUCGGAGCCACACAGAGCCUUUUCCCUUUUCCCUCUCCGCUGCCCAUGAGUGCAACCCAGCAACUGCUGACUGGAACGUUUCUAUUGUGGAGUUUAUGCUAAAUAUGCAUAUCUUAAUUGCAUUAGUCAAAAUAAUUAGCUAAUAUAUUUUUGCAUAAUGACGAGGUAAGCAAAUAUCACCAUAGCUCAGUGCUUCGUGCCUGAGUAAAUUUGGGAAAUUAAUAGACUCCCAAUUUCCUAAUUAUCUGCCUUUUAUUCCAAACUCCAACAACGAAACGCUCCUGUGUUUUGUCAUUUGCUUUGCGCCUUGGAAAUUUUUAAGCACCUGGUUUUCCCUUUUUUCCCCCCGCUUUAACAAGGAAAUGGGAGCCAUCCUUCCUCCCCUUCCCUGUUUUAGGCACUCAGAGUGGAGGAUCACAAAGUCAUGAGCUUCCUGAUUUCCAGACAGAGCUCGAGUAGGAAUUGGAGCAAGGCAUUUUAGACUUAAAAAUAUGCAUUUAGUUGGAAAAGAAUUAAAAAUUAAAUUUAAAGUCUGAAAAGAAUUAAAAAUUAAUUCUUUGGAUGGGAAAAUGGGCAGUGAUGUUUGGGCAUUUAAUCCCUCUGGAGAUGGAUUGUUUUUCCAGGGGUGUUUGCAGAAGUGCAAGGCUGGAAUGUUCCUAAAUCUCUAAAAACCCCCACGUAAUCCUGAAAAUUGCACCAAAAAAAAGGUAUUUAAAGAAAGUGUUUUUUCCAACAACAGUUUUUGUGCAUCUCUAAUUUGCCCGUUUUCCUUUGUUUUCUGGUGAUGCAGGACUCAGAUCUUCUCCUUUCCCUGGAUCAAGAGCCAGAGGUGCUGCUGCCCAGAAGGGAUUCCCCGGGAAUGGGGCCAGUAUCCGGACCAUGGGAUGUGGGCACCCUUGGCACGACACCUGGCUGAAAAGAAUCAGGAGCCCCGUCCUGCCACUAUCCUUUCCUUUCUGCAGCCUCUUCCUGGAUGAGGAUGGAAGCAAGCGCCCAGCUGGAGUGUGCCCAGCUCCAGCCAGGCAGAGGGAGAGCAGGCAAGGCAGGAGCACUUGGGAAAAUGGAUGGAAUGGCUGUCUGCUGCUGCCAGAUGUGUGAGCGAAAGCAGAUGUGACAGAUAAGCUGAGAACACCCGCGUCAGCUCACCCAAGGGCUGGGGGAGCAACUUCCCGACCUGCUGGAGAGAGAGACACCGAGGGCGGCGGGGGGUCAUAAAUCAGAGGCCCCGCUCCCAGCGUGGGGCACGUUCUGCCCAAAAAAGAGAAAAAAGAAAGCCGAGACAUCACCAGUGACCCGACAGAUGCCGGGAGAAGCUCCGGCCGCGGGGCUGCGGAGGAUGAUGGAUGCCGGGAGUGUGAACGGGAGAUGUGAGACACGAGCCCCGCUCCGGGAGAGGCAAAUCUUAUUUGGGAGAAGUUCUUUUAAACAAGCCCGUCCUGCUGCUGGUG